rnacentral:rRNA from 1 species
UACGAAGGGGGCUAGCGUUGCUCGGAAUGACUGGGCGUAAAGGGCGCGUAGGCGGAUGGCACAGUCAGAUGUGAAAUUCCCGGGCUUAACCUGGGGGCUGCAUUUGAUACGUGUUGUCUAGAGUGAGGAAGAGGGUUGUGGAAUUCCCAGUGUAGAGGUGAAAUUCGUAGAUAUUGGGAAGAACACCGGUGGCGAAGGCGGGACUCUGGGCCGAUACUGACGCUGAGGAGCGAAAGCGUGGGGAGCAAACAGG